GAAGCUGGAAUUGCUAGUAAUCAUAGGUCAGCAUACUAUGGUGAAUACGUUCCCGGGCCUUGUACACACCGCCCGUCACACCAUGAGAGUUGAGAAUACCCGAAGUCCAUGGUCAAAGUGGCCGAAGGUAGGCUUGAUGAUUGGGGUGAAGUCGUAACAAGGUACC
rnacentral:rRNA from 1 species